UUUAUAAUCUUAUAUUUUUAUUUUUAUUUAUUUUCUUAUUUAUUUAUUUAGUGGGGUGUUCUUAAUUUUAUUUGUUUAUUGGUUUUUUUUUUUUUACUAUUGUGAUUUAUUUUAUUCAGGGAAGUAUUUAUAACCUCAUUUUUAUUUAUAUUUAAUUUAAUAUUUAUUUGAUGAGGUGUCGAUAAUUUUUUUUCUUUAUAUUUAUUUCAUAUUUAUUUUAUUUAGUGAAGUGUUUUUAACCUCAUUUUUAUUUUUUUAUAUCUUUUAUUUCAAUUUAUUUAUUUAGUGAGAUGUCCUCAUUUCAUCUCACUUUUGCAUGUGAAAUAUAUGAACACAAAAUAAAACUUGGUCAUCCAUGAAAUAAAUUAAAGAGAAAGUUAGUAUAUUGGUUGAAAAAAUGGAGAACCUUCAAAAUCGAUGUAGAGGCUUUUAAGCCUAUUUUCUAUAGUCACCAUUCACAUGGAUAAGAUGCAACAACGCGACAUUCAAUGUUCAUGAAGAAAAUAAUUUUAACUUGAAAAGAGAAAUUUUAAAUUUAGUUUGAAAAAUCAAAAGAACAUAGUUCAGAUGUUUGAAAUGAAAGAGGUAAUUCAAG
rnacentral:lncRNA from 1 species